GGAGUUUGGACCGUAUCUCAGUUCCAAUGUGUCCGAUCAGCCUCUCAGCUCGGAUAUGCAUCGUUGCCUUGGUAGGCCAUUACCCCACCAACUAGCUAAUCAGACGCGGGUCCAUCCUAUACCACCGGAGUUUUUCGCACUGCUUCAUGCGAAGCUGUGCGCUUAUGCGGUAUUAGCAGCUGUUUCCAACUGUUAUCCCCCUGUAUAGGGUAGGUUACCCACGCGUUACUCACCCGUCCGCCACUCAGUCACCUCAAGGCGAAUCAAUCAGAAGCAAGCUUCGUCAAUCUUCAAUUAGAGGUGCUUCGUUCGACUUGCAUGUGUUAAGCACGCCGCCAGCGUUCAUC
rnacentral:rRNA from 1 species